GCGAGGCGCAGCAUGAGGGAAGCAAGAGGCGUUGCCUCUUUCAAGUGAUGCAGAACCCUUUUUUUUAUUUUUUAAGACAAAAAUAUAAAACCCUAAAGACUUACCUGUUGCCGACAAAAAAAAAAAUGGAGCUGCAUCAACUUUAGGAGCUGCAUCGAGUCUGUCCAGUCCAGGUGAAAGGAAUAAUAAAGCAGCUGAGCAAGAUUUCUGAAAAGACAUAGUGAGACUAUCUUCGGGUAUAUCAUAGGUAUACCCUUGUACAUUAGAUUUUGAUGUAAUUCUGUAAUUAUAUGUAUGAAAUUUCCUUUGAACAGUUGUAUCAACUCUUUUGUAAUAUAUUUUUUGAUUGUAAUCAAAUACAAAUUAUUGUAAGGUUAUCUUGAGAUUUCAUGUAUUUAUAAAGUUUUGCACUACUAAAUUUUUAAUACUCCCAUGAAUGUAAAUAUUAAUUUUGUUAUCUUAA